CUUUCCUUCCAAAGCAUGCAAAAAAAAUCUUUCCUUUCUAUAGGUCCCCCGCAUCUCACAUCUCACGACUCACCUUGAUCUAUUCUCUAGGUCAACAAAGGAAAACUAGAAUCACAAUCUCAGAAGCCCAACCCUCCUCAGCGGUGAGCGUCCUCUCUCCCGAUAUGAUGGGAGUUCUUCAUCGUCUAUUGCUCCCCGGCGGCGAUCUCAGAAACCUUGCCCAUGGCAUGACGCCUUCUACCAGCACUCUUCUAUGCCUACACACAAACAUCCUCAGGACAGGAAAGGAUAACCAAUUGACUGAAGACGAACGACCGUCGGGUUAGAUCUUACAAUCUGCCAUGCCAAGUUGCCACGUCCAGAUUUACUAAUGUUUCUUCUUGCAUCACAUGGAGAUGGAAUUGUCAAGAGCAAACAGACUGUUCUGACUGUGUUGGCCUUGAAUUCGAUGAACAAGAGUCAGUUCUUUGGUGACACGCCCAACUGUAGGUGGUUGCAAGAUAUAUCAUAAGGCAUCGACUGGAUGUUCAUGGUGUCGGUUAUCUCAAGAUCAUGUGAUACAGAGCCCACAAAGGAGUAGCUAGCAGAAUGGCCGGUGCAAAAUUGAGCAGAUUUUUCGUUGGGCAUCAGACUUCCAAAAUUUCCUUCAAUUAUUAUAACAUGAUUAACUACAUCAGGUUAGAGAAGAUUCCUUUUGAAAAUCGAUCAACCACCUGACUCGAAGGGUUGUGCACCACAGAUCAUGGGUGGUGCAGAGUCCUACCACCAACUUCUCCGCUGCUUCUAUCAAAAAAAAACUUCUCCGCUGCUUCUCAUCUCAUGUGAAAGGCAUAUGCCAGUACACAUCAAUGUGUCCCAGUGAAGGUACCAAAAACAUACAUGUGAAUCUUCUUUCAAUCUAAUCUGUACGUUUCUGAAUGAUUGUCUAUUCUGCUUCUAAUUAUGAUGUAAAAAACAGUGUGCAAAGUGUGCGUGCACUGGGGACAUAGUAUCAUAAUGUAACAAAUAAACAGGAAUACUUCUACUUCAUCCUGCAACAGUGGUAGUAUACUCGGCACUGAUGUGUACGUUUGCAUGUAUGUCGAGUUUAAUAUACGUCUGAUCUAUGUAUCAUGACAAGAUGUGGUCAGCUUGGAGAUCGUCGUAACUUCUGAUGGAAUAGAUACAUGUUAUACUAGCUCCUUUUAUAUACUUUUGAUGUUAAGUAUUAGUUCAUAGAAUUUCUCUCAUCCUCUGUUAAAUAGAAGUCAUGCAUUUGUGUAGAAUUUAUAAUGGUUAGGUGCAAGAGUAAGGUGUGAAUGCAAUUUUUGUAGCCCAGCAUGUAAAUAUGUUCUAUAGUUAUAUCUGAAUCGCUUUUUUAUCCAUCGGGUAUAGUUUCUAUGGUUUUCAUUCAUAGUUAUACCUGAAUCGUUUGUUUUUAUUCAUCGGGUUAGUCGGGUUUUCAUACUUUUAUUUUAUUUGAUCUCAUGAUGAUCUAAUAUGGAAAAUCAUAAUACCCUGACAUGUGAAAUGCAAGAAGGCACAAAAAAAUCAUUUUAUGUA